UGGACAUUUACUUCAGCCAGUUUCUUCUUAAGGUGAAGAAAACUCUUUGUAAAUGUCCUAGAGAAAUAUAGUAUUUUUCUUUCUGUUCACCCUUUGCAAGUGGAAAGGGUGGAUCAUUCCUCUACUGACAUAU
rnacentral:snoRNA from 1 species